CUCGGUUCGACUUGGUGCUCGACUCGCCUCGAUGGUGGUCCGCUGAGUUCGAGAGGAAGAUCGAUUCCAUGCUCCGAUCUGUCAUCGUCUGGAGCGAUGGGUCGCUCACGCAGAUUCGCACCAGGCACUGCUCUGAUCGAUCGCUCUCUUACGCUGCCGAAAGCCAAGCGCCUCUGCUUGCCCAGUGUCGUCUUCUGUGUUUGCCUCUGAGGUUAUCGUUGCUGGAGAAGAAGAGAUGGGGAUCGAUUGGGGGCGCCGAUCUGAGUGACAGAGUGAAUGAGGAUUCGAGCACCUCCAUUUCUUCUGAUAUGUUCUUCUACAUCUUCACAGCGAGUCGAUGGCUGCCGAAGACUCUUCUUUCUCAGAUCUGAGUUUCGCUGGGAACCUUCAACCAGGAACAACCAAGGUGAGGUUAAGAGAAAUAAAGAGAGAGAAUUUUGGGGCUGAUAGUUUUCAGGGGAGAAGAAGAUCCAAUCGGUGGGGGACCUAAAUCUGAAAAAUUCAGAGGUAACGUUAGGUGAGGAUAUCAUUGUUGCUCUACAGUUGAAUGAUACUCAUCCAUCACUUGCCAUAGCUGAACUCAUGAGAGUUCUUGUCGAUGAAGAGAAUUUGGAUUGGGAUAGAGCAUGGGGCAUUGUUUGCAAAAUCUUCUCAUUCACAACACACACAGUAUUGGCAGAAGGACUUGAAAAAAUCCCCAUUGAUUUACUUGGCAGUCUACUUCCUCGCCAUUUGGAAGUGCGAUAUUUGGAAUAUCUCUUCUCAUUUUUAUAUAACUUGACCGCUUCUCUUGCAAUUAUUUAGUUUGACUCAAUUGUGAUUUUGAGAAACUUUUGCAUUCUAUUUUUCUAGUACCAAAAUUUAAACUGUAGCAGGGUUUUUUAUUUAUUUAUUUUUACUCUAAUUGUAGAAAGUUGAUUAGAGGUUGGAGAUGCUUUAUAAUAUCUUAAAGCUAAUCAGUCAUAAGUAAUACCUUUUUAUAUAGACCCUCUAAAAUUUUAUUUAUUUAUUUAUUUAUUCCAGAUUAUAUAUGACAUUAAUUUCAAAUUUGUGGAAGAAUUGAAGAAGAAGAUAGGUUUAGAUUACAAUCGUCUGUCCCAUAUGUCAAUUGUUGAAGACGGUGCUGUGAAGAGUAUUCGGGCGGCGAACCUAUCAAUUGUUUGUUCCCAUACUGUAAUUGGUGUUUCAAAAGUACAUUUUGAGUUAUUAAAGACCAAGGUGUUCAAGGACUUCUAUGAGCUGUGGCCUGAGAAAUUUCAGUACUUGACAAAUGGUGUAACUCAGGUAGAAAAGACAUCGCACCUUAUUCAUUUUACAUAUUGGUUGAAAGCAUCUCAUUGAAAUUGCACAGGAAAAAUUAAUGAUAUGUGAUUGUAUUGAUCUGCUCUUGUGUUUUUGUCAGCGACGAUGGAUUGUAGUAAGAAAUCCCAGUCUUUGUGAUCUUAUCACAAAAUGGCUUGGAACAGAAGCUUGGAUUCGCAAUGUUGACCUUCUGACUGGCCUCCGAGAAUGUGCGACAGAUGCAGAUCUGCAGCAAGAAUGGAAGAUGGUACCUUCUAGCUAAGAUCACGAGCAUUGAUGCAAAAGUAAUGUGUUAACAUGUUCUGGCCAUUUCACAUUGUAGGUUAGGAGGGUUAAUAAAAUGAGGCUUGCAGAAUACAUUGAAGGGCUGAGUGGUUUAAAGGUCUGGAUAAAAAAUUACAAGAAUAUGAAUGAGAGUGACAGGAGGAAGGUUGUACCGCAUGUCUGCAUAAUUGGAGGGAAAGCUGCUCCUGGAUAUGAGAUUGCAAAAAAGAUUAUCAAACUUUGUCAUGCUGUUGCAGACAAAAUUAACAAUAAUAGUGAUAUGUGAGAGAUCCAUUGCGACACUAUCUUUUGGAACAUUUUGACAUCAACUUGAAUGAUGAGACAACUAAAAAAUGCAUUGAUGAACAAAUGAGAAAAGCUUGGAAGGGUCAUUGUGGGUAAUCAACCAACUUAUGAAGAGUUAGUUGAACGACUUAAUGAUACAACUUCCCGCCUUAAUGCUGCUAAUGAACAACUUAGAGUAGUUGUGGAUAUACUUCGUCAUAACAAUUUGAUGGCACCGCCUCCACCACCUCCAACAGACCAAGCUUCAGAUGAAAAUUUAAGAGAUUCGCCAUCUAUUUC